UACAGAGGUCCCAAGCGUUGUUCGGAUUCAUUGGGCGUAAAGGGUGCGUAGGCGGCGGGGUAAGUCAGGUGUGAAAUCCCGGGGCUUAACUCCGGAACUGCACUUGAUACUGCCUUGCUCGAGUACUGGAGAGGAGACUGGAAUUUACGGUGUAGCAGUGAAAUGCGUAGAUAUCGUAAGGAAGACCAGUGGCGAAGGCGAGUCUCUGGACAGGUACUGACGCUGAGGCACGAAGGCCAGGGGAGCAAACGGG
rnacentral:rRNA from 1 species